rnacentral:rRNA from 1 species
GACGAACGCUGGCGGCGUGCCUAAUACAUGCAAGUCGAGCGAAGCGGCGGAUGGGUGAGUAACGCGUGGGUACCCUGCCCUUAAGUCUGGGAUACCCUUUGGAAACAGAUGCUAAUACCGGAUACUAAACGAUGUACCUUCGCUGCAUUAGCUAGUUGGUAAGGUAACGGCUUACCAAGGCGAUGAUGCUUGGCCGAGUUGAGGGGCUGAUCGGCCACAUUGGGACGGGGAAACGGCCCAAACUCCUACGGGAGGCGUCAGUAGGGAAUCUUCCACAAGGGACGAAAGUCUGAUGGGGCAACGCGGCGUGAGUGAAGAAGGUUUUCGGAUCGUAAAGCUCUGUGGUUGGUGAAGCGGUAAUCAACCAGAAAGUCACGGCUAACUACGUGCCAGCAGCCGCGGUAAUUC